UGUGGAGUAAGGAAGGACCACAGCAGAGUAAAGCAAUGGAGACCGAGGUCUCAGAAACCCUCAGGGAAGUUGGCAUUUUAACUGGUCUUUGAAGACCAGAUGAGGAAACUGAGGCUGAGAGGGUAGAGAACUUUGCCUGAGGUCACUCAGCAGGGACCCACCCAUCACAGUAAAUGCCAGCACUGCUGAUGCCAAAACAAUGUUAUUUGUAGGCCCUCGGAAUUUGUGACCUGAAGGAAGAAGAGCAGGGCCGUGGGAAGUAUGUAACCAGUGUCAUGCCCCUGGUCCCAAGGAAGCAGUGGCUUGGCCUGAACACCCUGUCCUACCUGGUCCUACCUGGAUGCUGGCCUCAGUAAGCUCCUGGGCUCAUUGAAGAUGAACCUAGCAGUAGUAUUUACACCACUUGUUGUGUGCCCACUGUGGGCCCGGCGCCAUGCCGAGUGCUCUAUGGAUGUGAGAGAAACGGAGGCCCAGAAAGCAGAAAUGAUGUGUUAAGAUCACUCAUCAAGCUGAUGGUACAGAGGUUAGAGCCUCUGCUCCCUGCUCUACCUCUUUCCCUUACUCCACAUCCAUGCCUGUCUCUUCCAAUGGGUCGGCAUCCACCCUGACACAUUAAAGCCAAAAGGAACCUUAAGCUAGGGAAGGGGCUCCAGAACUUUAGUGAAAGAUUCAAACAUGUCCACUCAACUCAAUGGAGAAAAUACAAUAUUCAAUCAAUGGUGUUGGGAUGCCUGGAAUAUUGUUGGAGAGGGAUCAUAAAAAUGGAACCAAAACAAUUCCAUUUGGGUCAAAGAUUUAAGUGUCAUAAAGCCAUGUAAAUUCUAUAAGGAAGUAUGGGUAAAUUGAUUUACAUUUUGGAAUAGGAAAGUCUUUCUUUUUUUCCAACUUUUAUUUUAGAUUUGGGGGAUAUAUGUGCAGGUUUGUUAUAAGGCUAUACUGCAGGAUGCUGGGAUUUGGGGUACAAUCAAACCCAUCACCCACAUAGCAUAGUGGGAAGGCUUUUCUAAUCAGGAUGGAAAACCCAGAGUCAUACAGGAAAAGACUAAUACAUUCAACCACAUAAAAAAAUUUUAAACUUCUGUAUGGAAAACCACCAUAGAAAUGUUUUUCCAAUAACUGAGGAAAAUAUGAUAUGGGGAUAUUUCCUUAAUUUGCAAAGAAACUCAUACUAAUUAAUAUGAAAAAACAAUUAUUUUAAUUGCUAAUACUUAAUGAUCAUUUACUAUAUGCUAGACACUAUUUUAAGUAUAUGGAUUAUUUCAUUUAAUUCUCACAGUAAGUAACCCUAUAAGGUAAGUGCUAUUAUUACUAUCUCCAUUUUAUAGAUGAGAACACUGAAGCAGUUUUUUCUAAAGAUAGCUGCCUGGCACAGUGGCUCACAUCUGUAGUCCCAGCAUUUGGGGAGGCCAAGGCAGGUGGAUCACUUGAGGCCAGGAAUUCAAGACCAGCAUGGCCAACAUGGUAAAACCCCAUCCCUACUAAAAAUACAAAAAUUAGCUGGGCGUGGUGGCACCUGUAAUCCCAACUACUCAGGAGGCUGAGGCAGGAGAAUUGCUUGAACCCAGAGGCGGAGGUUGCAGUGAGCCAAGAUCACGCCACUGCACUCCAGCCUGGGCAACAGAGCAAGACUCCGUCUUGGGGAAAAAAAUGCAAAAAUUAGCCAGGCAUGAUAGUGGGCACAUGUAAUCCCAGCUACUUGGGAGGCUGAGGCAGGAGAAUCGCUUGAACCUGGGAGGCAUAGGUUGCAGUGAGCCAAGAUUGCGAUUGCACCACUGCACUCCAGCCUGAGUGACAGAGCAAGACUCCAUCUCAAAAAAAAAAAAAAAGCCAAAGAAUAUAUAUUAGGUUGGUGCAAAAGUAAUUGCAGUUUUUGCCAAUACAAGUAGUUUACAGAAAGAGAAAUAUCAGUGGCCCAUAAACAUGUAGAAAGAUGUUUAAUAGCACUCAUAAUUCAAGAAAUGCAAAAUAAAACUAAAAUUAAACAUCACUUUUUCACCUUUCUGCUUGGCAAAAAUGAAAACAUUUGCCAAUACUCAGGGAUGGUGAGAAAAACUACUUAUAUAACUUAUAUAACUGUUCCUCUGUAGAUUCUGAGUUCUAUCCUAGUAACAGUUCAUGUCACCAAAAAACUACACAUUAGAACCACCUUAGCUUAGCUGCCCAGGAAAAAUGCCUUCAGCCAAGUUCCAUUUUAAUGUUAUACGCUUGGCAUCUCUUGAUGGUUGGCAGAAGAAAUGACCACAUGAAAAGCUGCAUUUUUUUGUCCUGGAAAAACCACCACUAAAGGCAUUGUAAUCUACAUUGAGUAUAUAAGGAAGGGCCCACACAAUAAAUUAUCUGCAGUAUUUACUACCAGGAAAGAUUUACUUUCUCCUGAAGACCUGAUGUGUUAUUUUGCCAUACGAUGGUAAUCAUAUAAACCUCUGUUUCUCGUUUCUCCUUGGCUGCUAAGAAGCUCAAAAAUCACAUCUGAUGAUCCACUCUAGUGACAACAUAGCCAGGGCGAUUGGCAUCUGACUUCUCAACCCAACCUGACCUCAUAUUAGCUUUUUUCUUUUGUCUCCUCUCCCCUUCCAUUAGUUUCUCUUCUUCCACUUGCUGUUUAGUUUUCUAAUUCUAGCUUAACAAAAUUAUUAUAAAUGUGUGUUUUUGGAAGCUAUUUCAAAAUCUUUUGGAAGUAGAUAGGAUAUGUUACAAAUAGUCAAACUCCCUUAGUUUAUAGAUGAGAAAACUCAAGUUCUUUAGAAGUUAAAUGACUUAUUCCAGUGUUAAUCAGCUUAUAUCUGUGUGCACAUGUGACUCUCACUUUAUUGUAAGUGUCUUAGAAUUAUAUUUAUCUCUGAGACUCUGGUGGCCAGCUUUGAGCCAAGUACAUGGUAAAUUGUCAAUGUAUAUAUAUUGGUUGAAAAAAUUCUAAGUGCUGUGAGGAAAGGGACAUUUUUGCAGGGGAUAAGGUCGUAGUAGGUGCUCAUGAGAACUGAAUUCACAACAGGGCGUGGCCUCAGCCUCUGGCCUCACCCCACCACACCCUAGCAUCUCCACCACCCAGGAGUCUCAGGGCUGGGCUUCAUGCAACCCAUCUGCCCUACACCUGCCCGCACUCUGCCUUUGUCUCCACUAUUCCACUUUGGCCCUCUUGCCUUGUCCAGUGAGUUUCCAAAUAUUUCUCUUUUUUUUUGAGACGGAGUCUUGCUCUGUCACCCAGGCUGGAGUGCAGUGUUGCGAUCUCGGCUCACUGCAAGUUCCACCUCCUGGGUUCAAGUGAUUCUCCUGCCUCAGCCUCCAGAGAAGCUGGGACUACAGGUGCCCGCCAUCAUGCCCGGCUAAUUUUUUUUGUAUUUUUAGUAGAGACGGGGGUUUCACUGUGUUAACCAGGAUGGUCUCGAUCUCCUGACCUCGUGAUCUACCCGCCUCAGCCUCCGAAAGUGCUGGGAUUAGAGGUGUGAGCCACCGUACCCAGCUGAGUUUCCAAAUAUUUCUGAUUUCACCAGCGGGGGAAGACUGGCAGGCUCCUAUAUCCUCGAAGUAUCCUGCCAUGAGAUGCCUGCAGAGUGGGGAAUGGCAUCACCUUUCCAACCCUGUGCAGCACCCAGUGCGAGCUGCUUAUUAGUGGGAACUGGAGAGGAAGAGGAGGAAAAGGAGGACCCAUGGCCAUGGCUUUUUCUGUCCUUGUAACCCUCAACUGAUAUGUAUCCCAUACUUCUUGGUUGGGCAGAGGGGAGAGCAGAGGUUGACAGGUCACAUUUCCCUCAGUUUUCCAUCCUUCCUUCAGUGCUGGGAGAGAAAAGCAUACGACAUAGACAGGGAGGUCAAGCUCCACCACGCAGAUGAGGUGCAGGCCACCAGUCUUCCUCUGCCACAUCUCUUUCUGAAAAGGACUUCACAUUCACCCUUGCAAUCCAUGUGGGGACACUGUUGGAUAGGAGGCGUGGUCCCAGCGUGGUCUCCCUGUCUGGGCCUCUGCCUAUGCCAAAUGUUUGCCUUACGCUGCACACUCAAGAGGUUCCAUGUAUACAGAUGGGAAUUCCAGAGCUACAGAAAAGGCAGCAAGCACCAUGAUUUAAGCUAACCAGUGUGGAUUCACACCUUCCUCUCUCUCUAUCAGUGGCAGAACUACCAGCUAGAGUAAGAAGUGGUUGAUCCAGGACCUAAACAUUCUGGAAACUCUUGCCCACUUCUGGGAGAAAUGACCCAAUCCAUAGUACUAAGCACACCUUAACUUUCGUAGGACGCAGGCAAGUUGUCAUACCGUGUGCCUAAAUAUAGAAAAAUGAUCCACUGGACUAAUAAAGUGUUAAAUAAAAUAUGUCCUGACUGUCUACUUUGACAACAUACUUUCAUAAUGACAAAACUUAAAAAUGUAUAAAGCUAUGGUUUUUAUAUAGUUGAAAAUUGACAAAACAGAAGACUAAAUUUACUUAUUAUUGCACAUGAUGGGCGGGCUAUGUUUGGUUGAG
rnacentral:lncRNA from 1 species